CAAACCCUCAAUGCCACCCCUUUCGCCCUGACCCUACUCAACCAUCUCCUGGAACCCUGCACAAAUCCCUGGGGUCAGAAUCCUCCAGAAAGGCAGUGUGGGAAGGUGUCCCUGCUGUGCCCCUCAGCCUGGGUGACAGGACCCCCGUCAGGACAUGAGAUUGGCCAUGAGAACCCUGUCACGCCUAGGGCAUCUGCUUGAGGCAGCUUCAGCCGAAGGGCUGGCCAGAGAACUCCAGAUAGCAAGAGGGAUGCAAGAUGCCAGCCUGGACGACACACGUGCCCCAGGUGUGAAAGGCAAGAGGAGCCGAACACAGGAGGAAAGAGGCAGGGGGACCUGCCUGAGGCAGAGUCAGGACCCAGGUAGCCCCAGCCCAGGGUGCCCACGGGGAGCCGGGCUGGCCCAGGAAGCUCAAGGUGGCACCGUCUUGCUAGUCCUGGGCCCGACUUGGGGCGACUGCAACAGUUUCGGGACAGGGCCCGCCACCCUGCCCCACACUGCCCAACUAGUCAG
rnacentral:lncRNA from 1 species